rnacentral:rRNA from 1 species
GACAGAGGGUGCAAACGUUGUUCGGAAUUACUGGGCGUAAAGCGCGUGUAGGCGGCUAAGUAAGUCGGGCGUGAAAUCCCACGGCUCAACCGUGGAAGUGCACUCGAAACUGCAUAGCUAGAGUCCUGGAGAGGAAGGUGGAAUACUUGGUGUAGAGGUGAAAUUCGUAGAUAUCAAGCGGAACACCGGUGGCGAAGGCGGCCUUCUGGACAGUGACUGACGCUGAGACGCGAAAGCGUGGGGAGCAAACAGG